rnacentral:rRNA from 1 species
CACGUAGGGCGCAAGCGUUGUCCGGAAUUAUUGGGCGUAAAGAGCUCGUAGGCGGUCUGUUGCGUCCGCUGUGAAAACUCGGGGCUUAACCCCGAGCCUGCAGUGGAUACGGGCAGACUAGAGGUAGGUAGGGGAGAAUGGAAUUCCCGGUGUAGCGGUGAAAUGCGCAGAUAUCAGGAGGAACACCGAUGGCGAAGGCAGGUCUCUGGGCCACUACUGACGCUGAGAAGCGAAAGCGUGGGGGAGCGAACAGG